rnacentral:misc_RNA from 1 species
UUUCCGUAGGUGAACCUGCGGAAGGAUCAUUAAUGAGAACUAAGGGUAGUAGUCUCGGCUAUUACUCUGAACGCUCCACCCUUUGUUUAUAUUACCUUUGUUGCUUUAGCAGGCCCGCUCUCGAGCCGCCGGCACCUGCUGGCUAGUGCCUGCUAAAGAACCUAAAACUCUUGUUAAUAAUAUUGUCUGAGUACUAUAUAAUAGUUAAAACUUUCAACAACGGAUCUCUUGGUUCUG